CCUACGGGAGGCUGCAGUGGGGAAUAUUGGACAAUGGGCGAAAGCCUGAUCCAGCCAUGCCGCGUGUGUGAGGAAGGCCUUCGGGUUGUAAAGCACUUUCAGUGGGGAAGAAAGCCUUGGGGCUAAUACCCUCGAGGAAGGACAUCACCCACAGAAGAAGCACCGGCUAACUCCGUGCCAGCAGCCGCGGUAAUACGGAGGGUGCGAGCGUUAAUCGGAAUUACUGGGCGUAAAGCGCGCGUAGGCGGUCUGAUAAGCCGGUUGUGAAAGCCCCGGGCUCAACCUGGGAACGGCAUCCGGAACUGUCAGGCUAGAGUGCCGGAGAGGAAGGUAGAAUUCCCGGUGUAGCGGUGAAAUGCGUAGAGAUCGGGAGGAAUACCAGUGGCCAAGGCGGCCUUCUGGACUGACACUGACGCUGAGGUGCGAAAGCGUGGGUAGCAAACAGGAUUAGAUACCCCUGUAGUC
rnacentral:rRNA from 1 species